AUUCCUCGUUAGGGCAGGCGCGGCCCCUUCGGCUCCGAGCUGACCCUGAUCAGGGCCGAGUUGUCUCGGCGGCGCUGCCGAGGCCUCCACCCAGGACAGUCCCCCUCCCCGGGCCUCUCUCCUCUUGCCUACGAGUCCCCUCUCCUCGUAGGCCUCUCGGAUCUGAUAUCGUGGGGUGAGGUGAGCAGGCCCGGGGAGGGUGGUUACCGCUGAGGAGCUGCAGUCUCUGUCAAGAUGAUAGAGGUACUGACAACAACUGACUCUCAGAAACUGCUACACCAGCUGAAUGCCCUGUUGGAACAGGAGUCUAGAUGUCAGCCAAAGGUCUGUGGUUUGAGACUAAUUGAGUCUGCACACGAUAAUGGCCUCAGAAUGACUGCAAGACUAAGGGACUUUGAAGUAAAAGAUCUUCUUAGUCUAACUCAGUUCUUUGGCUUUGACACAGAGACAUUUUCUCUAGCUGUGAAUUUACUGGACAGAUUCCUGUCUAAAAUGAAGGUACAGCCCAAGCACCUUGGGUGUGUUGGACUGAGCUGCUUUUAUUUGGCUGUAAAAUCAAUAGAAGAGGAAAGGAAUGUCCCAUUGGCAACUGACUUGAUCCGAAUAAGUCAAUAUAGGUUUACGGUUUCAGACUUGAUGAGAAUGGAAAAGAUUGUAUUGGAGAAGGUGUGUUGGAAAGUCAAAGCUACUACUGCCUUUCAAUUUCUGCAACUGUAUUAUUCACUCCUUCAAGAGAACUUGCCACUUGAAAGGAGAAAUAGCAUUAAUUUUGAAAGACUAGAAGCUCAACUGAAGGCAUGUCAUUGCAGGAUCAUAUUUUCUAAAGCAAAGCCUUCUGUGUUGGCAUUGUCUAUCAUUGCAUUAGAGAUCCAAGCACAGAAGUGUGUAGAGUUAACAGAAGGAAUAGAAUGUCUUCAGAAACAUUCCAAGAUAAAUGGCAGAGAUCUGACCUUCUGGCAAGAGCUUGUAUCCAAAUGUUUAACUGAAUAUUCAUCAAAUAAGUGUUCCAAACCAAAUGUUCAGAAGUUGAAAUGGAUUGUUUCUGGGCGUACUGCACGGCAAUUGAAGCAUAGCUACUACAGAAUAACUCACCUUCCAACAAUUCCUGAAAUGGUCCCUUAACUGGAUUAUUACAGCACCAAAAAACUUCUCUGAAGCCUUUCUCCACAACCUUGUUCUAUGGAUUCCAUAAUGUUACAAUGGAUUUAAGCUAUGAAGCCUCAAAACAUCACGAGAUAAGCAUGAUGGUCUCAGACUUGGGAAAACUGCCUAAUAUUAUGCUGUAGUGGAAUUAUGUUUAGAUUUGAAUUCAUCUGUGAAGCAUUCAAAUCAAAGCUAAAAGCCUAAAUGUGAAAUGCUAAUGACAAGCCUGAGAAGUUUCAGCCCACUUGAAGUUUUGUGCCAGCCUUCUUACCUAAUUAAACAACACUUCAGCAGCGUGGUUGCUAAUGCCAGGUAACCACCAUGUGUUAUGUUAGCCUGCUUGGAUCAAUUGUAAUUAUUACUGGAAUUGAAUUAAUUAAUAUGAUUUUGAACAGUUCAUGUUCAAACUAACAUCCUGUAAAGUAGACACUGCAAGGAGUUACUGAUGAAAGAAAAGUUGUUCAUAAAAGAAGCCUCCUUUUAUAAUUGACUUGCCUUAGACUUAUUUAAUAAUGUUUCAUAGUAUUUUUUAAAAAGUAUCUGAACCUUGUACAUAUUUACAAUUAUGAGACAUCCUAUCUAAAAAUUUAUAUUUUCGAUUUAACAUUUGUGGCUGGCAGUGAUAAUUUUUACUCUCUGGUACUAUGAAUCAUCUCAUUAAAAUCCUCUCAACUGAAUGACAUUAUCCCAAUUUGCAAAUGAAAGAGAGACAGAGAACCUAAUGAUUUGCCCCUGGUCUAUACCUGGUACUUGGAGGUAGGAUUCAAAGCCAGGCAGUUCUGACUCCAGAGGCUGUGCUCUUAACCACUCUAUACAUUACCUCUCAAAAUAAAAGAUUAAUUGGACUCAAGUGAAAUUGCUUGUAUAAUUUUUAAUCAAAACUAUAUGCUGGCCACAUUAACUUCUGUGCUGUCAUCAUGAUCAUAGAAUAAUAACAACACUCAAUUUAUUUCUCUAUACUAAUAACUUUGAUAAAAUGUUAUUAUUUAUUAAAUCUAUUUUUCAGAAACCAAAAAACAGUAAACAUGAGUCAAGAUGAAUUAAAAGAUAAGCCAAUUUUUAAGGCCGAGCGCAGUGGCUCACACCUGUAAUCCCAGCACUUUGGGAGGCCAAGGUGGACGGAUCACUUGAGGCCAGGAGUUCGAGACCAGCAUGGCCAACAUGGUGAAACCCCAUCUCUACUAAAAAUACAAAAAUCAGCUGGGUGUGGUGGCGCAUGCCUGUAGUACCAGUUACUCCAGAGACUGAGGCAGGAGAAUUGCUUGAACCUGUGAGGCAGUGAGACAAGAUCACACCACUGCUCUCCAACCUGGGCAACAGAGUGAGGCUCUUGUCUCAAAAAAUAAAUUAAAAAGCCAUUUUUAUAUUCAUCAAAGUAGAGUUAGGAACAACCAAAAUUGCCAAGGAUAAUUAGGGACAUUAUAUAAUGAUAAAAUUCACCAAGACAGUGCUAAAAGUGUAAGCACUUAUUAUCAGAUCUUAAAAAUACAUGAAGAGACCAGGUACAGAGACUCAUUCAUUCCUGUAAUUCCAAUGCUUUGGGAAGCCAAGGUGGGAGGAUUGCUUGAGGCCAAGAGUUCAAGACCAGCCUACUCAACAUAGGGAGACCCUAUCUCUACAAAAAAUCAAAAAUUAGCUAGGCAUAGUGAUAUACAUCUGUAGUCCUAGGUACUGAGGAGCCUGAGGUGGGAAGACUGUCUGAGCCCAGGAGUUUGAGGCUGCAGUGAAGCAUGACAGAGUUGCUAUGCUCCAGCCUGAGUGACAGGGUAAGACUCAAAAAAAAAAAAAAAAACAUGAAGCAAAAAGUGGUAGCAUUAAAAGGAGGACUGGACAAAUCUUCAUUUACAGUUGGAAACUUAAACAUUCCUCUCUCAGUAGUCCAUAGAAUUAAUAGAAAAUUAGCAAAGAUGUAGGAAAAUGGAAUAAUACUAAUAACCAGCUAGAUUUAAUUGACAUAAAACCCUUCUACCUAAAACAGCAGAAUAAGCAUUCUUUUCAAGUACACAUGGAACACUCACCAAGAUAAACCACAUCAUGGGUCUUAAACCUUAACAAAUUUAAAAGAGAUGAAAUCAUAUAAAAUAUGUUUUUUGACCAUAAUCUAGAAAUCAGUAACAGCAAGAAAAUCUCCAAACACUUGGAAAUUAAACAACACAUUUCUAAAUAACUCAUGAUACUACAGGGAAGUCUUAAAAAAUAUUUUAAAAUAAAUGAAAAUAUCACCGUGCUUGGAAUGCAGCCAUGCUGGUGCUGCAAUUUAUAACAAUCGACUGCUUUUUACUAAACAAGAAAAAGUUCUCAAAUUAACACUCUAAGCUCCCACUUUAAGAAAGUAGGAAAAUCUAACUGGGUGUGGUGGCACACCACUAUAGUCCCAGCCACUCAGAAGGCUGAGGUAGGAGGAUCAUGACCCCACGAGUUUGAGGCUGCAGUGAGCUAUGAUCAUAACACUACUCCAGUCUGGGUGAUGAAGUGAGACCUGUCUACAAAAAAAAGAAGCCCAAACUAAACCUAAAGCAAGCAGAAAGAAGAAAAAAAAAAAAGAGGCAGAAAAUAAAUGCAAUUGUAAACAAAUUAAUAGAAAACAAUCAAAAAACUAAUUUUUGAAAAGAGCAGUAAAAUUGAUAAACCUCUGGCAAAAUUGACAAAAAAAGAGAAGGAAUUCCAAUCUUUGAUUCCAAUCUUAGGAAUCAAAGAAAAGAUAACAGUAUAGAUCCUCAUUAGAACGACACAAAGAAAAUACCAUGAACAACUCUAUGCACAUAGGAUUAGAUGAACCAAUUCCUUGAAAGGCAUACAGUACCCAAACUUAAAUAAACCUCAAUAAAUUCUCUAUUUUUAAAAAUUGAACCAUUGUUUAAAACCUUACUAGCAAAUUCAUAAAACAUUUAAAGAUAUAACAAAUUCUACAAAUCUCUUCCAGAAAGAAUAAUCACUUUGCAAUUCAUUUUACAAGACCAGAAUUAACAUGAUACCAUACCAAGAUAAAGAUAACACAAGGAAAAAACAAACAAAAACAAUUGCACAAUAUCCAAAAUGAACACAGACAUAAAAAUCCUCAAAAAAUAAAAAUCUAGAUACAUAAGCUGAAUAAUGUACCAUGACCAAGUUUGGGGUUGGGAGGAAAUAUAAGCUGUUUCAAAAUUCUGGAAUCAGUAAAAUCCAUGAUUUUAACAGUCUAAACAAAAAGAAUGACCAAACUGAUACAGAAAGAGCAUAGAAAAUUCAGCAUCCACUCAUGAAACUCUGCUAACAACAAAUUAAUAGAUGGGAACUUGCUCAACAUGACAAAGGGAAUUUAAGAAAAGCCUACAGCUUGCAUACAUAAUGGUCAAAAACAAUGCUUUCAAAAUCCUAAGAUCCAGAACAAGACUGAGAUGGCCACUUUCUCCAUGUUAUUGUUCUGGCCACUGCAAUCAGGCAAGAAAAAUCAUAGACUAAAAAGAAUAAAAUAAAACUGUUCCUAUUCGUAGUUUAUGUAGAAAACUUAAUGAGUUAACAACAAAAUCAGGCAAGAAAAAUCAUAGACUAAAAAGAAUAAAAUAAAACUGUUUCUAUUCGUAGUUUAUGUAGAAAACUUAAUGAGUUAACAACAAAAUAACUCCCAAAACUAAUGAAGUUUAGCAAGGUCACAGGAUACAAGGUCAACAAACAAAAAUCAAACACAUUUGUACAUACUAGCGAUGUGCAAUUGGAAACCCAUGUUUCAAAAAUAAUACAACUUAACAAUAGUUCCUCCAAAAUGAACACUGUGGAAUAUAUGCUGAAAAAUGACAUAAAAUGCUGAUAACUGAAAUGAAAGAGGUCCUAAAUAGAUACCUCAUGUUCAUGGAUUGGAAGACACAAAAUUGCAUUCAAAACCCCAGUAGGAUUUUUUGUAGAUACAGAGUAGCUAAUUCUAAAAUUCAUAUGGAAGGCAAAGAAACUAAAUUAGCCAAAACAAUUUUGAAAAAGAUUUCAAAAAAAUUUUGAAGGAAUCAUGCUGCCCAGUUUUAAGACUUACUAUAAAGCUGUGAUAAUCAAGGCAAUCUGGUAUUUAUGAAAGGAUAAACACAUAGAUCGAUGGAAUAAAGUCCAAAACCAGACUCACAUAAAUAGCAAUUGAUUUCUGACAAAGGUGAAAAGACAACUCAAUGGGGAAUGGAGAGUUUUUCAACAGACGAUUUUAAAACAACUGAACAUCCAUAUGCAAAAAAAUAAACCUACCUAAAUUUCACAGCUUAUACAAAAAUUAACCUAAAAUGGAUCACGGAUCUAAAUGUAGAACUAAAUUUAUAAAAUUUUUAGAAGAAAAAAAUCCAUAGGCCGGGCACGGUGGCUCAUGCCUGUAAUCCCAGCACUUCAGAGGCUGAGGCGGGCAGAUCCGUUGAGGUCAGUUCAAGACCAGCCUAGCCUAUAUGGUGAAAUCCCAACUCUACUAAAAAUAAAAAAUAAAAAAAAAAUGGGCUGGGAGUGGUGGUGCACACCUGUAGUCCCAGCUACUUGGGAGACUGAAGCACAAGAAUCACUUGAACCCAGCAGGCAGAGGUUGCAGUGAGUGGAGAUUGUGCCACUGCACCCCAGCCUGGGUGACAGAGUGAGAAUGUGAGUCAAAAAAAGAAAAAAGAAAAAUUCCUCAUGACCUGGGGUUAAGGUUCCUAGACAUGACACCAAAAACAUGAUCCACCAAUGGCAUGAUGGAUAAGACUUCAUCAAAAUUAAGUCUGUGCUUCAAAAGACACUAUCAACAAAGUAAAGAGAGAAUAGGAGAAAUUACAAAUCAUAUACCUGGUAAGAGACUUGUACCCAGAAUAUAUAAAGACUCUUACUACCCAAUAAGACAACUAAAAAAAUGGGUAAAUAAUUUGAAUAAACACUGCUUUAAGGAAGAUACACAAAUAGCCAAUAAGCACAAGAAAGAAUGCUCAACAUAGUAUCAGAGAAUAGCAAACCAAAACUAGAUAGAGAUCCCAUUUCAUAUCCACUAGAGUGACUAAAAUCAAAAUGUCAGGUAAACAAGUAUUGGCAAGGAUGCAGAGAAAAUGGAACCUGCAUACACUGCUGGUGGGAAAGUAAAAAGAUGUAGCUGCUUUGGGAAACAAUGACAGCUCCUCAAAUGAUUAACAUAGUUAUCAUAUAACCUAAAAAUUCUACUCCUAGGUAAGAAAUGAAAACACAUAUGCACAUAAAGACUUGUACACGUUUAUAGCAGCUUUAGUCAGGACAGCCAAAGGGUGGAAAUACCCAAAAUGUCCAACUUACAAAUGUAUAAACAAAGUGCUACAGCCAUACAAUGAAGUAUUUUCAGACAUACUAAUGAAUGUGCUGAUACAUGCUCGAAUAUAGAUGAACCUCUUAAGACAUGUAAAGUGAAGGAAGCCAGUAACCAAAGACCACGUAUUAUGAUUCCAUGUACAUGAAAUGUCCAGAAUAAGGAAAUCUAUGAGAUGAAAAGAGGUAGUAUGGAUGGCGGGGGAUGACAGGAGAAGGAUAAAAGCUAAACUAUACAAGGUUUCUAUCUGAGGUGAUGAAAACAUUCUAAAAUUGAUUAUUGGAAUGGUUGCAUUUAUCUGUGUAUAUACUAAAAGCUACUGAAUUACACACCUUAAAUGGGUGAAAUGUAUGUUGUUACAAUAAAGCGUUUUUCUUAAUUAUA